GAUGAACGCUAGCGGCAGGCUUAACACAUGCAAGUCGAGGGGCAGCGCGAUGUAGCAAUACAUUGGCGGCGACCGGCGCACGGGUGCGUAACACGUAUGGAACUUACCCUUUACUGGGAGAUAGCCCGGAGAAAUCCGGAUUAAUAUCCCAUAAUAAACGAAGUGGCAUCACUUUGUUUUGAAAGCUCCGGCGGUAAAGGAUGGCCAUGCGCACGAUUAGCUAGUAGGUGAGGUAACGGCUCACCUAGGCUACGAUCGUUAGGGGGCCUGAGAGGGUUAUCCCCCACACUGGUACUGAGACACGGACCAGACUCCUACGGGAGGCAGCAGUGAGGAAUAUUGCGCAAUGGAGGCAACUCUGACGCAGCCAUGCCGCGUGCAGGAAGAAGGCGCUACGCGUUGUAAACUGCUUUUAACCGGGAGAAACCCUCCGACGUGUCGGAGGUUGACGGUACCGGAGGAAUAAGCACCGGCUAACUUCGUGCCAGCAGCCGGGGUAAAGUCA
rnacentral:rRNA from 1 species